rnacentral:misc_RNA from 1 species
GAUGAAGAACGUAGCGAAAUGCGAUAAGUAGUGUGAAUUGCAGAAGUACCGUGAAUCAUCGAAUCUUUGAACGCAAAUUGCACUCUCUGGUAUUCCGGGGAGUAUGCCUGUUUGAGGGUCGCUUAACAAACCAUCGAUUUCGUUGCUUUUUUUUUUAAAAAAGUGAUGUUUAUCGGAUUUGAGCCGUCUUUUUUUUUAUAUUUAAGUGGCUUAAAAUUGAUUUUUUUGGUACGAUCGAAGCGUAUUUUUAUGAUCAAUUUUUGGUUAAAGAAACGCACACGUACCGUUAUUUAUAUGAUGUAAUACGUUUGACUAUUGGAUUUAGUUCAUUCGUAUACGAUAUUUUUCAAUAUUUGACCUCAAAUCAGGUAAGAACACCCGCUGAACUUAAGCAUAUCAAUAAGCGGAGGA